rnacentral:ncRNA from 1 species
CGCAUGGUGUUCGUGGAAAGCACGGAUGGCGAUGCGGCCUGAUAUGAGGU